GGGAUAGGGAGUUUAUCUGUAGUGCGAGUCUUUGCACGUUAACUGUAAAGGCGUAGAGAAAGCAACUGGCGUUUGCAUGGCUACUGAGCAUUACUGAUAGGACCCGAAAGGUGGUGAACUUUGCCUGCACAGGUUGAAGUCAGGGGAAACUCUGAUGGAGGACCGUACGGGUUAUUGAUGUGCAAAUCAUUUUUCUGAUGUAGGUAAAGGUGCGAAAGACUCAUCGAACCACCUAAUAGCUGGUUUCCUCCGAAGUUUCCCUCAGGAUAGCUGUAAUGCAUUUAGUUAAGGGGAGUAGAGAUAUGGGUAGAGGUGCAGGGAGCCUUCGGGUUCUCAACUUAUUUCCAAACUUCGAACCUCCUUGUUAGGCAUUUACCUAACUGGAAAUGCUUAAAUGAAUUAGCGUUACAAGUGGGCUCUGACCGGUAAGCGGUCAUGGCGAAAUGGGAUGAACCAUACGUCUGAAUAAGGUGCCGAAAUGUACUAUCACUGAUACCAUAAAGGGAGUCCAUGUAUUUAGACAGCAGGUCGGUGCCCCUAAAAGCAGGUAUCCGCUAAAGAGUGUGUUAAAACUCACCUGCCGAAUACUAGGGCCCCGAAAAUGAAUGGCGCAUAUAGUACUACCGAUCUCAGACAUCAGUUCUAUUGAACUGAGAGUAGGGGGAUGUGGACAUUUUUGUGAAGGUGCAAUGUGAGUUGGACUGGAAGAAUGUCUAUUACAGAUCCUAAUUGAAGUAGCGAUUAUCCAGGCUUGUAUCCUGGGGGCUGAUGAGGAGUAGGGUUUCUGGACAACUUAAACAGAUCCAGAGUUAGUCGAUCCUAAUCUCAAUAAUGGGAGAAAGGGAGUACAGUUGAUAUUCUGUAACUGACAACAGUUCGCGGCAACGCAUACUAUUUUUCUCCGCCAAUCUUAUACCGUUGGUAGGGAUCUCUUUCCUACAUGACAGUACUAAUACCCAGGGAAACUGGUCAUCAGGCGAACUGCGGCGUUCUGCUGGCAAAACAU
rnacentral:ncRNA from 1 species